rnacentral:tRNA from 1 species
AAAGAUAAGCUAAUUAAGCUAUUGGGUUCAUACCCCACUUAUGAAGAUCAACUUCUUCUCUUUUAA